CCUACGGGAGGCAGCAGUGGGGAAUCUUGCGCAAUGGGCGAAAGCCUGACGCAGCAACGCCGCGUGCGGGAAGAAGGCUUUCGGGCUGUAAACCGCUUUCAGCAGGAACGAAAAUGACGGUACCUGCAGAAGAAGGAGCGGCCAACUAUGUGCCAGCAGCCGCGGUGAUACAUAGGCUUCAAGCGUUGUCCGGAUUUAUUGGGCGUAAAGAGUUCGUAGGCGGUCGAGUAAGUCGGGUGUGAAAAUUCUGGGCUCAACCCAGAGACGCCACCCGAUACUGCUUAACUUGAGUUCGAUAGGGGAGUGGGGAAUUCCUAGUGUAGCGGUGAAAUGCGCAGAUAUUAGGAGGAACACCGGUGGCGAAGGCGCCACUCUGGAUCGAUACUGACGCUGAGGAACGAAAGCAUGGGUAGCAAACAGGAUUAGAUACCCUGGUAGUCCAUGCCGUAAACGGUGGGCACUAGGUGUGGGAUUCUAUUAACGAAUUCCGCGCCGUCGCUAACGCAUUAAGUGCCCCGCCUGGGGAGUCGGUCGCAAGACUAAAACUUAAAUGAAUUGACGGCUUGAGAGUUGCGAGCGACACGAGGGAGAG
rnacentral:rRNA from 1 species